GUGAACGCUGGCGGCGUGCCUAACACAUGCAAGUCGAACGAUGAUAGAGAGCUUGCUCUCUUGAUUAGUGGCGCACGGGUGAGUAUACCAUAGAUAAUGUACCCCUUAGUUCGGGAUAGCCACUGGAAACGGUGAUUAAUACCGGAUACUCCUUCUCGUUAUAAGACGAGUCGGGAAAGUUUUUUCGCUAAGGGAUCAGUCUAUGUCCUAUCAGCUAGUUGGUGAGGUAAUGGCUCACCAAGGCUAUGACGGGUAUCUGGUUUGAGAGGAUGAUCAGACACACUGGAACUGAGACACGGUCCAGACUCCUACGGGAGGCAGCAGUGAGGAAUAUUGCACAAUGGAGGAAACUCUGAUGCAGCAACGCCGCGUGGAGGAUGACGCAUUUCGGUGUGUAAACUCCUUUUAUUAGGGAAGAUUAUGACGGUACCUAAUGAAUAAGCACCGGCUAACUCCGU
rnacentral:rRNA from 1 species